UACGUAGGGGGCAAGCGUUGUCCGGAUUUAUUGGGCGUAAAGAGCUCGUAGGCGGUUUGGUAAGUCUGGUGUGAAAUCUCCACGCUCAACGUGGAGGGGCCACCCGAUACUGCCAUGACUGGAGUCCGGUAGAGGAGUGUGGAAUUCCCGGUGUAGCGGUGAAAUGCGCAGAUAUCAGGAAGAACACCCGUGGCUAAGGCGGUUCUCUAGUACGGUACUGACGCUGAGACGCGAAAGCUAGGGGAGCAAACGGG
rnacentral:rRNA from 1 species